AUUGAACGCUGGCGGCAGGCCUAACACAUGCAAGUCGAACGCGUGUAGGACGGGUGAGUAAUGUCUGGGAAACUGCCUGAUGGAGGGGGAUAACUACUGGAAACGGUAGCUAAUAUCGCAUACCAUCGGGUGUGCCCACAUGGGAUUAGCUAGUAGGUGGGGUAAAGGCUCACCAAGGAGACGAUCUCUAGCUGGUCUGAGAGGAUGAUCAGGCACACUGGAACUGAGAAACGGUCCAGACGCCUACGGGAGGCAGCAGUGGGGAAUAUUGGACAAUGGGGGAAAGCCUGAUGCAGCCAUGCCGCGUGAGUGAAGAAGGUCUUCGGAUUGUAAAGCACUUUAAGUAGGGAGGCGUUACCAACAGAAUAAGCACAGGCUAACUUCGUGCCAGCAGCCGCGGUAAUUC
rnacentral:rRNA from 1 species